AACGCACCUUGCGCUCCUUGGUAUUCCGAGGAGCAUGCCUGUUUGAGUGUCAUUAAUAUAUAUAUCAACCUUCUCUUUGUUGAGUGGCUUGGAUGUGGGGGUUUGCUGGUGGCCUCUUAGGAGGGUUCAGCUCCCCUGAAAUGCAUUAGCAGAACAAACCUGUUCAUUGGUGUGAUAACUAUCUACGCUAUUGAAUGUGAGGGGCAGUUCAGCUUUCUAACGGUCCUUUGGGACAGAUUCAUCAUUAAUGUGACCUCAAAUCAGGUAGGACUACCCGCUGAACUUAA
rnacentral:misc_RNA from 1 species